CUGGCAUCGCACCACUUUCUGU
rnacentral:miRNA from 1 species